rnacentral:lncRNA from 1 species
AUGAUAAUGUGCUUUUGGUCCUGGAGUUUGACUCUGGUGACUACAACAGGAAAGGACCUGGAAUCUGUGUCUCCUGUCUUCCAGAAAAGACGAAGGGACAGACAUCAGAAGAGGAGCAUCGAAGACAAGCUUGAGAGUGCUUUGCUGGAUUUUCAAAGAAUGGCGAGAAUCAGCUGUUGGCAUUUGCCAUAUAAACAUAUGGAGACUUACCAACUCAAGAGAACAUACUAGACAACUGAGAACAGAGCACAUUCCUGAAGAAAAGGGGAUAUGCUAUAUACACCAGGGUGACUGAACUCUCCUGUCUGGAUGGAAGGAUUUCAGCCAGGUCAUUAACAAAACUGCCUUAAAGAAGCUCUUGAUUCUUUAUGGAAGAAGUAAAAGGGGAAACAGUGUUCAGAGCAUACCAGGAAAGUAUCACAAUUGCCUUCCUGGUGCCUGUGCAUUGCAAGAAGAAAUAAACAUAGCAAGGUUAUCUCUGAUAAAGUGCA